rfam:Gossypium arboreum cultivar AKA8401 contig_5134_1, whole genome shotgun sequence.
UUAAAUAUUUUUUAACGUCCAAUAAAAUUGGAACGAUAUAGAAAAGAUUAGCAUGUCCCUGCACAAGGAUGACACGCACAAAUCGAAAAAUGGUAUAGAAGACU